UACGAGGGGUGCAAGCGUUAUUCGGAAUUACUGGGCGUAAAGGGUGCGUAGACGGCUCAUUAAGUUUGUUGUUAAAUCCUCCGGCUCAACCGGAGACCUGCAAUAAAAACUGAUAGGCUAGAGGAUGAGAGAGAGAAGUGGAAUUCCCGGAGUAGCGGUAAAAUGCGUAGAUCUCGGGAGGAACACCAAUGGCGAAGGCAGCUUCUUGGCUCAUUUCUGACGUUGAUGCACGAAAGUGUGGGGAGCAAACAGGAUUAGAUACCCCAGUA
rnacentral:rRNA from 1 species